UACGGGGGGAGCAAGCGUUGUUCGGAAUUACUGGGCGUAAAGGGCUCGUAGGCGGCCUUCUAAGUCGAACGUGAAAUCCCCGGGCUCAACCCGGGAAACUGCGUCCGAUACUGGAAAGGCUUGAAUCCGGGAGAGGGAUGCGGAAUUCCAGGUGUAGCGGUGAAAUGCGUAGAUAUCUGGAGGAACACCGGUGGCGAAGGCGGCAAUCCUGGACCGGUAUUGACGCUGAGGCGCGAAAGCCAGGGGAGCAAACGGG
rnacentral:rRNA from 1 species